rnacentral:lncRNA from 1 species
UUUUGGCAUUGAGAUUUAUAUUUAUUUUCUAUAUCUCGCCAUUUUUAUAAGUCAAUACUACUUUAUAUGAAACAGUGGCCCAAUCUCAUACCCUUCUUGCCUUCUUCAAAACAUGCAAAGCACAGGACUGUUGACCACAGCGUUCCCCUAUGGCACAGUGGGUUAAGGAUCCAGUCAUGCAUUAAGGAUCAGGAGCCUGGGCUGCUGCUGUGAUGCAGGUUUGAUCCCUAGCCCUAGAACUUCCACAUGCCAUGGGUGUGGUCAAAAAAGACAAAUAAAAAAAUAAAGGAGAAAUAAAGAAUUUCAAUUUUAAAAAACGUCCCAACUUCCUAUAGGAUUAAAAAAGAAUAGAAAGAGGAGUUCCUGUCGUGGCACAGUGGUUAACGAAUCCGACUAGGAACCAUGAGGUUGCGGGUUCGAUCCCUGGCCUCGCUCAGUGGGUUAAGGAUACGGCAUUGCCAUGAGCUGUGGUGUAGGUCGCAGACGCGGCUUGGAUCCCACAAUGCUGUGGCUGUGGCUGUAGCUGUGGCUGUGGCGUAGGCCAGCAGCUGUAGCCCCUAUUGGACCCCUAGCCUGGGAACCUCCACAUGCAGCAAGUGCGCCCUAAAAAGCUAAAAAUAAAAUAAAGUCAAAUGAAUCUCAGUUCAAAUCUUGAUAUUAUCAUUUACCUUUUGGGAGAUGAUUUGAAGCACAUAAUCUACUCAUAUAAGCCUCAGUUUCCACAUUUGUAAAACAUUAAAUACCAUCCUCAAAUGACUGUUGUAGGGAUUAAAUGAGAUAAUGCAUGAAAAGUGUCUAGUCUGUUCUUGAAUGUUGGAAAUACUGAGUAUCAGUAUGUGUUUCUGUAUACAGCUAAUACAAUAUAUUCUGAAGGAAGCAGACAGAGUCUAAGAAAUGAAAUAGACUGAAUGUGAAUUUCAGUUCUGUCAAUUACAAACUUUCUGAUUUGGAUAAAUAAUUUCACUUUCAAUCUCAAUUUCUAAUCCAUAAAACUCUAAAACUAACCCUAAUACCAAUUGUACUGAGAGGAUUAAAUAAGACUAACUAAUAAAAUUAAAAAGUAAACUGGUUAAGAAACCCUGGAAGAUACGAGCAUUAUUGAACAUACAAAAUCUACAGAAUGGGACUAUUAUGCAACACUGAAGACUAUGUAGAGAUGGUAGUUACCUCCAAAAAGCAAGCUAAUUGUUCUUUCCCUCCCUUUUCACAAAAAGAUCAAUUUUUGAUAGCACAUAGCCUUCCUCAUUUAUGUUCCCAUAAAACUCCACAUUAUCACUAUUAAGGCACUUCUCAUAUAUAACUGUUUCUGUUUUGCCAGUCUUUUCCAUUUGACCAAGUGUCUUUGAAAGGAUUAGCAGUCAAGACCACAAAAGUAAAGGAUCAUUACAAUACAUCACUUCUAUAGUGCUUAUCUAUCCAUGAGUCUUCACGUCUUUAGUCACUCCUCAGAUCUGUGUUACAGUUUAUGCAGGGCUAUUUAAGGACCUGGACACAUUCUCUUGCAUUCAUGAAGAAAGAUUCAUGUAUUUUCCUAGUACACACAUAAUCUUUCUGUGACUCUGCCUUGACAUUACACUUGCUUCCAAUCUUUUAGAACAAGUUUUAUCCCACUCCACAUGCCAUCCCUAUAAUAACAUGUAUACUUAGUUUAAGCACCAAUGAAUGUUAUACUCAGGUCAAAAUUUGGCAGUGUAUUGAUAAAGUGUUCAUAGCAGGGAUCAUUAACACACAAAAGAUGCACUGUAAAUAUUGGGUAUAUGAAUUAUGAAAAAUUCCACCACAAAUAUAGAUAUAUUUUGUACUCCCAAUUUCCCUGUCCUAGUGAAAUCGUGAGAAACAUUUAUGGAAUGGGUAAUAAAGUCCAGUUAAGAACUGCUGCUCAUAGCUCUAGAUUAAGGAUUUUUGCAAAUAUUUGGACAAAGAGUCCACGCUCAACACCACCAUCUGCUUCUUAAACAUGUAGAUGGUAACUCUCCACAGACUGAAAUUAUCAUGUAAAUUGUAUAUAUAUGCUCUGUGUUGAGGUUCUCUUCAGCCAAAUUUAUUAGAACAAAUAAAACAAAGAUCUACUUAAUAAACUAUUAUCUACUUAAACACAUGGUUUAUGGAUGAGCAGUUUGCUCUUGCAGUGACAAAAAUUUAACCUUACAAUAAGGAGUCAAUAAUGGAUUAAACCAUUCUUCUAUAAGAAAACCUUCGUCUCACAAACCCAACAUAUAAGCUUUUAUCUAUUCCUGUAACAGAAAUGACAGGAAACAAUUUUUUUUUU